GUCCCCUUCGUCUAGUGGCCUAGGACACCGCCCUUUCACGGCGGUAACAGGGGUUCGAGUUCCCUAGGGGACGCCA
rnacentral:tRNA from 1 species